UACAGAGGGUGCAAGCGUUAAUCGGAAUUACUGGGCGUAAAGCGUGCGUAGUCGGUUAUUUAAGUCGGGCGUGAAAGCCCCGGGCUCAACCUGGGAAUUGCGUUCGAUACUGGAUAGCUAGAGUUCGGCAGAGGGAAGCGGAAUUUCGGGUGUAACGGUGAAAUGCGUAGAUAUCCGAAGGAACAUCAGUGGCGAAAGCGGCUUCCUGGACCAGAACUGACGAUCAGGCACGAAAGCGUGGGGAGCAAACAGG
rnacentral:rRNA from 1 species